rnacentral:rRNA from 1 species
AGUGGCGGACGGGUGAGUAACGCGUAAGAAUCUAACUUCAGGACGGGGACAACAGUUGGAAACGACUGCUAAUACCCGAUGUGCCGCAAGGUGAAACCUAAUUGGCCUGGAGAAGAGCUUGCGUCUGAUUAGCUAGUUGGUGGGGUAAAGGCCUACCAAGGCGACGAUCAGUAGCUGGUCUGAGAGGAUGAGCAGCCACACUGGGACUGAGACACGGCCCAGACUCCUACGGGAGGCAGCAGUGGGGAAUUUUCCGCAAUGGGCGAAAGCCUGACGGAGCAACGCCGCGUGAGGGAGGAAGGUCUUUGGAUUGUAAACCUCUUUUCUCAAGGAAGAAGUUCUGACGGUACUUGAGGAAUCAGCCUCGGCUAACUCCGUGCCAGCAGCCGCGGUAAUACGGGGGAGGCAAGCGUUAUCCGGAACUAUUGGGCGUAAAGCGUCCGCAGGUGGUCAGCCAAGUCUGCCGUCAAAUCAGGUUGCUUAACGACCUAAAGGCGGUGGAAACUGGCAGACUAGAGAGCAGUAGGGGUAGCAGGAAUUCCCAGUGUAGCGGUGAAAUGCGUAGAGAUUGGGAAGAACAUCGGUGGCGAAAGCGCGCUACUGGGCUGUAUCUGACACUCAGGGACGAAAGCUAGGGGAGCGAAAGGGAUUAGAUACCCCUGUAGUCCUAGCCGUAAACGAUGGAUACUAGGCGUGGCUU